rfam:Rattus norvegicus chromosome 15, whole genome shotgun sequence.
GGGGAUUUAGCUCAGUGGUAGAGCGCUUGCCUAGCAAGCACGAGGCCCUGGGUUCAGUCCCCAGCUCCG